UUAUUUUAUUAGGUUUUGAUUUUUAUUAUAUCUUCACAUGAAAAUCAAAACCUAAAGAAAAUG
rnacentral:pre_miRNA from 1 species